UCUUUGAUUGUGGUUGUCUUUUAAGGGAGGUCUUGUUAUACCACUCAGGCUGGCUUCAAACUUCUGGGUUCAGGUGAAUCUCCUGCCUCAGUGUCUCAAGUAGCUAGGAUUACAGGAAUAUAUCACUGUGUGACCAAUUAGGGACAUACCAUAUUUUAAGGACUUCUGAAGUCAUUAUGCUUUGAAAUACUUCUCACACAUUUCUUUGGACUUAAAAAUCAUGGACAGACAGACCUCUCACAAACCAGCUAAAAUAUCUAAAUACGUUAUAUCACGUGGGUUGUGUAGAUAUUUGUUAAAUUAAAAUAGUCUCACCAGUAACACAGACUGAUUUUAUCAGUUUCCUUUGACACAUCUUACACUCCUCCCUUGGGUUAAAGGUAAAACAAAAACAAAAACAAAAAAAAAAACAAAAAAACACCCUUUUGACAUUGAAGGAUAUUCAAGCCAGAGGGAUGCAGUGUUAUCCAAGGGAAAUUUGUACUUGCUGAGCAACAUGUAAAGGUGUCCUGUUAAGAGAGAGGGCUAUAUUUUUAUAGUGUCUUUAUGUGAACUCCUUGGUCUUGGGAAGGGCAACUGAAGGCAAGAUGUAUUUUCAUAGCCAAGACAUGGAGAGUUUCUAGGGUAUUAAUUUGAAUCUCAUGAUGCAUAUCUAUGAACAAAUUACGUAGUAGUGUUUAUGGCUAUUUCAAGUAUAAUAGCUUUGAUUUUGUGAAUAACAAUUUAAUUUAAAGGAAGCUUGAUGCUACAAUUGGUAGGUUUUUAAUUUUCCCAACUAGACCACAAGCAACUUUAAUGACUUGAUGCCUCCAAUCUAAUUUUAUAAUUAACAGUAAAUGCAAGUGCAUCACCUUACCCUCCACCAGGGGGAGCUUCGGUAUCAUAUGAUGCUUCUACCAGCAUUUCCUUACAAAGACUCAUGGAGUUUACAACUUAAUUAGGCAAAAAAUAGACACAAAAUUUUGGGAAGGUAUGAAUACCAUUAACUUAAUGCACUGUAGCCACUUUAGUAUGUAUUUUUCUUAAUGUUUGGAGAAACAGUGGCUGCUAGCAUGUGACUGCCAUCUCCCCACAGCUCUGAACUCACCUUGGUCUGCCAUCCUCAUCUGCCAUCAUCAGAGAACUCCUUUUACUCCUCAAUAAGACCGUCUCCUUUUCCGAAGUUGUGAUGUUCUUUUUUGUCUACUUGACUAAAACAAGUGAUUUGGAGUCAUUUUUCUCUCCUUAAGAAUCGUAAUAAAACAUUC
ensembl:lincRNA Gm43848 predicted gene 43848